CCUUUCUAACUCCACACCCAAAACAUUUGCCCACAAAUCGUGCGAAGUAUCUUUUCUUAUCGUUGAUUCGCUCAUGUGCUUUGAUAGUGUUAAAUUAGAUAUAGAUUUGGCGAUCAGCACGUUAUUUCGUUUUUUACCUAGGAAUUCACAACGUAUGUCUAGGGUGCGUAAUAUCUAAUAAUAUUAUCAUUUUGGAAUACUUGAUUCUAAUAUCAAAGUAUGCGUUCCGAUUUAAUUACUACUUAUUGCGGAAUGUCCAUUUUUCGAUCAAAUUUUAUAAUCAUCCGGUUUGUAUU